GUCCUCUUGUUUAUUUUGGAGGUCUGACCUGCCCAGUGAAAAUUUUUAACGGCCGCGGUAUAUUGACCGUGCAAAGGUAGCAUAAUCAUUAGUCUUUUAAUAGGGGGCUGGAAUGAAAGGUUUAACGAAUCAUUAGCUGUCUCAUUUUUAUAAUUUAAAAUUUAAUUUUUAAGUUAAAAAGCUUAAAUGUUGUUGGAGGACGAGAAGACCCUAUAGAGCUUUAUAUUAAAUUUUUUAAUAAAAUGUUGAUUUAUGUCUUAAGUAUUAGAAUAAUUUAGUAUUGUGUUGGGGUGACAAAAAUAAAUAAUUAACUGUUUUAUUUUUUAAACAUAAAUUUAUGAAUUUUUGAUCCAUUAUUAUUGAUUAUUAGAUUAAGUUACCUUAGGGAUAACAGCGUAAUCUUUUUUUGGAGUUCAAAUUUACAAAAAGGCUUGCGACCUCGAUGUUGGAUUAAGAUUAUAAUUUGGUGCAGUAGCUAAAUUAAUAGGUCUGUUCGACCUUUAAAUUCUUACAUGAUCUGAGUUCAGACCGG
rnacentral:rRNA from 1 species